CGUUGGCACAUCUCUUCAACUUAUGGAAUGUUUGAAUGUGGGGAGUUUUCUUAACAGAAAGUGGUGAAGGAUGGACAGAACAGAGGUGAGUCAUGUGGGAGUUGGGGACCAAGGGGAAAAGCCCAGAGAAAUCGCAGGCAAGGCCCGGCUCCCUAAACCCAGGGUUUAAUUAGGUUUCAGGUUAAAUGUUCCAAGGAGGAGGGGUGGGGUGGGGAAGCCACCUGACAUCUGAUUCCCCUGGUCUGAGGCUGGUGACCCCAAUGAAAUGGUGACACGGCCAACAGCCAUCCCACACCUUGAAUCUUGGGAGAGAAGCUUGCUCUUGCUUGGUGGGUUUCAGCCUCCUCUCAGGGGCUCUCACAGACCCCCAAGAACACACAUGCAAGCAUCGAGUACAGCAUCAAGUACACGCCUAAGGGCCACAUCCUCUGAAUUUCCUUGCCAGCAGUAGGGUUUUUGCAGGAUAUCCGUGUACAUGAGCCUUGGGUUUUGUUUAAAGCACCAACUCACAAAUCUGACUCAAAGAAUACUUAUUGGGAGCAACUAACUACAUGAAAUGCAGAGAUGCAUGUAUCUGGCAGCUUCCUGGCAACCCCAGAUCUCUGAUCUAAUUUUAUUCCUGCGAAGUUUGGAUUUAGAAGAAAAUGCACAGCAGCCUCACUGGGGAGAAGAAGGCUGGAGGAAAAUGGUAAGUGCACGCCCCUGGAGAGCCCAUGGGGUGGAAGGAGAAAGUGGGGGGACAGUUUCCAGGGGCAAUACCCACAGAGUGACAGCAUUUUAUGUCACCGCCCAACUACUGUAUUUACCCACCUCUGGGGAGGGUGACACAAGUGUCUGGAAUGUGUAUCUUAUUUUUGCCCUGCCUACGUUUUCAUCCAUAAAACGAGCAGAAAGGACUAAUGAGUCUGGUUGGUCUGGGCAGGAACACUGCCUGCAUUUUCCUUGGGCUGGUACUCUCGAGGCCAUAAAAGGGCGCGUCCCAGGAAGGAUGGGUGUUCACAGUUAUGUGGCCCAGUGUGUGAGUGUGUCUGUGCAGAGAGGUGUGUUCCCAGCUGUACCAGGAGCACAGGGACAGGUACAACCACGACGCUAUGACUCAGGCCUAAGGUGGGUGGAAGAGGAGACAGCACGUAUUAAUAUAAAAUCAGC
rnacentral:lncRNA from 1 species